AGCGGAUUAUGCGGUGAGUUACA
rnacentral:siRNA from 1 species